rnacentral:lncRNA from 1 species
UUCAAGUCGCCCAAAGUCUUAACAAACAUAAAGCGUCGCGCUUAUCAAGAAGUGCAGUUAGCAAAGCAAUUAUUAGAGCAGCCCUAUCACGUUCCACGAUUCAAGGAAUUCAAUCGAAAGCGGUUGAACGAUGAAGAGUAAUGGUAGCAGUUAAAGGAGGUAGUUUUCGUGACAAGUUGGCCAUUAAGAAGAAAGUGGGCAGUUAUAGGACGAUCAAGCAGUUUUUAGGGCAGUUGAUCACAAAGAGAUCGUCCAUGAAGUAUAAAAGGAAGAAAGGACAUAGAAGCAAAAGACCGAAUCCAAAACUCUCGAACAGAGAACAUGUAAUUUUCAUUUCCUUAGUUUUUAGAUUUAAACACUUUUCUUUCAGUAACUCGUGUGCUUGCGC